UGGGGAAUAUUGCACAAUGGGCGCAAGCCUGAUGCAGCCAUGCCGCGUGUGUGAAGAAGGCCUUCGGGUUGUAAAGCACUUUCAGCGAGGAGGAAGGUGGUGGACUUAAUACGUUCAUCAAUUGACGUUACUCGCAGAAGAAGCACCGGCUAACUCCGUGCCAGCAGCCGCGGUAAUACGGAGGGUGCAAGCGUUAAUCGGAAUUACUGGGCGUAAAGCGCACGCAGGCGGUUUGUUAAGUCAGAUGUGAAAUCCCCGGGCUCAACCUGGGAACUGCAUUUGAAACUGGCAAGCUAGAGUCUCGUAGAGGGGGGCUAGAAUUCCAGGUGUAGCGGUGAAAUGCGGUAGAGAUCUGGAGGAAUACCGGUGGCGAAGGCGGCCCCCUGGACGAAGACUGACGCUCAGGUGCGAAAGCGUGGGGCAGCAAACAGGAUUAGAUACCCUGGUAGUCCACGCUGUAAACGAUGUCGAUUUGGAGGUUGUGCCCUUGAGGCGUGGCUUCCGGAGCUAACGCGUUAAAUCGACCGCCUGGGGAGUACGGCCGCAAGGUUAAAACUCAAAGGAAUUGAC
rnacentral:rRNA from 1 species